GCGGCGCGGGGGCGAGCGAGGGAGCGCAGCCGGGGGAGGGGCGGCCAGGUGCUCCGGGCGCGCGCCCCGGUCGCGGUGGGCGGAGCCCGGGGCUGGAGGUCGGGGUCCGGAGAAGUUGGGUAACGGCCCUGGGCUCGCACGUGGAGGGAGCGUGCAGACGCUCCCCAAAGCGUAGAGAGGCUGCAGGGACCCGGGGAAGGGCCGGAAAGGGCGUGAGAGGUGGGCACCUGGGGGCUGCAGCCUUCUUGGGAGCGGCCAGGGGAGGGGGGCUAACCCGACUCGCACGUGGAGGGAGAGAGGAUUCGCCCCUUCGGCAAGAUGCAGGAGCCAAGGGAGUGGGCGCACAGUUACCAUUCCAGGCUUGUGUGGGAGAAGACUGUUGUGCUCUUGUGCCUGUCCACCCGGGCGACCCCAGCCCUCGGUUAAUACAAGAUGUCACCUCCACUUGAGCCGUCCCACUGCACGUGCUAAGCCCGCAGUAUAAAGAGGAACUUCAUGUCUCACCACCAUUAGGGACUCUUUCCAAGAGUCUGCGGUGCUGAGGAAGGUGAGAACAGGGCAGGUGUUUGUGGUCCAUGGGAUGCAUAUAUGCACUUGGGAGCUGGGGUAAAUCAUCUGCAAAGAUGGCCAACAACAAUGUCUUUCAUCCCUAUACGUACAUGGUGCUCCUCCCAACAGGAGAUGCAGUUUGUUCCCCUUCCCCUUGAACCUGGACGGCCUUGAGACUUGCUCAAUAGAAUGCACUCCAAGUAACGUCUUAUGAGUUUGGAGCCUGGGCCCUAAGAGGCCUUGCCACUGCCCGGUUUUACCGUCCUGGGAUCUGGACACCCUGUUUGAGAAGCUUGGAGUUCUGGAUGACGUGAAACCACAUGGAGAGUGAGAAGUCCAACUAUCCCAGCCACCACAGCCAAGGUAUGAAACACGUGAGUAAAGCCGUCUGGGAUUCUCCAGCCCAGCCAAGCUGUCGCAGCCAACCAAGCAUGGCAGAGACAAACCAUCCCUGAGGAGCCGCACCUGAAUUACACAAUCACGAGAAAUAAGAAAUGGUGUUGUUUUAAGCCACUGCUCUUGGAGGUUACUUGGUAUUUCGCAGCAGAUAACUAAAAUAGGAUCUGUUUCAGGAACCGUUUUACAACAGAACUUCUAGAAACACAUUGCAUUUAAAAGCAGAGCUGCAAUCUCUAGCAAUUAUCUCUUAUCUCAGCACUUUCCCUUCUAGGAAUCUAUCCCAUAGAUAUCCUUGGACAAAAUACAAGAAGAUAUAUUGGCUAUUCACUGCAGCACUAUUUGUAGUAGCAUCAAACUUCCAACAUCUCAAGUGUCUAUCAGUAAAGGACUGGUUGAAUAAGCUGUGUAGCAUCUAGGUGGUGGAGUACUAUGCAGCCAUGAAAAGGGAUUAUGGACACCUCUGUGAACUGCUGUGGUGUGAUCACCAGGAUAUAAGGUUGAAUGAAAAAAGCAAGGCAGAGAAAAGUGCUUAUGGUAUGCUAUGCUAUUGUCUGUUUAACUUACUUGUUUUUAAUUGAAAGGAUAAAAUGUAACAUUUCAAAAGAAAUUGUUACCUAUGGGGGAGGGAGGGAAUAGGGUAAAUGAUGCCACAGGACUAUAAUCUGCAAACUCUAGAUUUUGGGAAACAUUAUAGAAAAACCAACCCAGUUUCUGUAACAAAGAAACAUUUUAAAAAACAAAAGGGAUAGAAUGGGAACUCAGUGAUUAAAAAGAGGGACUUAAUUUAUUCCUUUGAUAACUAUGUAAGUUUAAAAAGCUAAAGCUCUAAACGUUCUUAGAAACAAUGAUCAGUACAUAGAUGUAAAUUUUAAAAAUAUGUGCAGUAAAAAAAGAGGAACUUAAGAGUCUAUCAACUGCAAUUUAUGAACAUUUUUGUAUUCUGAAUUGAAUUAAAAAACUGAAGUAGUGUAUGAGACAAUGGGGAAAUUUAAACAUGGGUUGAAUAUUUGAUGACAUUAUGGAUUUAUUAUUUAUGUAGAAUAGUCAUAGUGUGCUUAUAUUCUUAAAAGAAUCUUCACAUAUUUAAGAUACACACUGAAAUUUUAAUAGAUGAAAUGCUGUAACACUGGGAGUCACUUCAAAAGUAUUGCAAGGAUUGGUGAAGGAGGUGAAGUUAGGGAUUAAACCAGACUGGCCAUCAGUUGAUAAUUAUUCAAUCUGGACGAUUGGUUCAUGAAGGUUCAUUAUGUUGUCCUCCUUACUUUUGUAUAUAUUGAGAUUUUCCAAAAUAAAAAGUUAAAAUAAAAAAGAAGGGCCUCUGAGACCCGGUGUUUUAAGGGCCCCUGAAU